GUGGCCCAUGAGUAGGGAGCGCACAUGUACUAAAGUUGAACCAAUACAGAGAAGACUAGAAUGGCCCCUGCACCAAAAGGGCAGGCAAAAGCAUUAAGAAAAAAGCAUUCCU